GGCAUCGUUUUGAUAUUUUGAGCGCCCUUCCCCGGGUUUUCAACUGGGCGAUCGACUCCUUUUUGCAAUAUUUUUUGGAGAGGGAUGGAAGAGUAUGACAAUAUUACCACCAUUUCUACCUCUGUGGAUACUCGUGGAGUUUGCUGGCUCUUCGGAUGAGGAUUUUUUAAUGAUCAAAGUGCGAACUAAACGCGAAAAAAGGCCGAAAACUUGAAGUUUGAGAUUAGAUUUACUGACGAUCAAGAUGUGCACAUGGGACAACAAACCUUGAAGGGUAGUCUUAAGAUGUUGAUGUCUUACUUCUGUGAAUCACGAAGUUGUAUGUGGAGACGAUCGUGAGAUAUUCUUUGCGAUAAUAGAAGUCACAUAGAACAUAAGUCUUUAAAAAAUGUUCCAGCUUCAGGAUUGAGUCUCUCUUACUACGAUCUUUGGCAAAUUCCCUUAGUUGAGACUGAUGAUAGGAUUUUGGAGGUUGAGAUGGAUUUUCCAAGUCAUGGCUCACAACUGUCUUUGGCCUUUUUGCUCUCCAAGUCUGUUGUACAUGGGAGAUGUGAUGUGACCCCACUACAUAUAGUUGGUACUAUUGACCGAAUGGAUAGGUGUGUCAUGCAUUGCGCCUAGCUGGUAUUCAAGAGAAUGUAAUUAGUACCAGAUGCUUACUACUGGUAUAAAUGAUCGAUCUUUUGUUCUCUCCUUGCAACUUGCCUCGACUAGCCUAUGAUAUAUGCAACUUAUGUCUAUACCUUAUUUGCAACUGUAAAAUUACCAAUAAAGUUUUUGAAAGUUUUGUCCAAAUUUAAUUGGAAAAGAAUAAAA